ACCCUAGUAGUGGACUGGAGAAAUUAGAGAAAGCGUUUCCUUCGCCAGAAAGGCAGAAACUAUAAGUUGUAGCUCAACGAAGCCUCUCUUCUCCCUUGCACCAAUCCGAAACAUUUGAUUUUCGGCUUUUCCGUUUCUUGAACUAUUUCGGUGGCAACGAACAUACUGGUAUAUUGGGGAAAUGACAUGAACUACAUGCAUCAUCAACGCCUCGCCGUCUUGGCUCAUCGGGUACUCGUAAAGCACGUGGUACUUGUAAACCAUGUGGUACUCGUAAACCAUUCUUUUUCUGCAACCAACAACUUCUUCUUGUAUGCAAAAUCUGAUUUUCCAAACCCUAGGAAUAACGGGUUUUCGUUUUUUCGAGCUUUCUCAUUCGCGGCGGCCAACCGUAGGACACCGGACCCCGAUGACCCAUCCACCUUGAUGAAGGAAGAUGGGGUUGCUCUGUGCUCCCAAAUGUGGAUUGAUAAUUUUCGAGCACCGGAUGCUACUGUGACCAAUUUGACCUCUUUUCUCCGUAGAUUUGAGUUGUGGGUAUUGGCCUACCAAAAAGUUUGCGCUGAUGAGAUGGGGGCUUAUAUGCCCCGGAGUGCGAUACAAAGAUCAGCGCUUGAAGACUUGUUAGGGCUGCGCAAUGCAGUUCUUGAUUCUAGGUUUAAGUGGGGAGCUAGGUUGGAGUUCUUUAUAAAAUCUCCCAAGGACAAGACCGAGUAUGAAUCAUUGUCUAAGAGGAAAAUUAGGGCUAUUUUGACUACCACGCAGCCUGCCCCAUUUCAAGAUAAGAUAGUUCAAGAGGUUUUGUUUAUGAUUUUGGAGCCAAUUUAUGAGUCACGGUUCUCAGAGAAGUCAUUUGCAUUUAGACCUGGGAGAAAUGCUCAUUCGGUGUUGCGGGUCAUUCGCCGAAGUUUUGCCGGUUAUUUAUGGUAUAUAAAAGGGGAUUUGAGUACGAUAUUGGAUGGGAUGAAGGUGGGGUUGGUGAUAAGUGCUUUAAUGAGGGAUGUUAGAGAUAAAAAGGUGAUUGAUUUGGUGAAGGCAGCGUUAGUCACACCGGUGAUCACAAGUCAGGUUGAUGAAGGAGAGAAGAAGAAAAAGAAGAAGAGGAAGUAUCAAAAGAAGAGGGUGUUAGCAGAAGAUGAGCCAAAACCUGACCCAUAUUGGUUAGAGACCUUUUUUGGGUUUGCUCCUGAGGAGGCAGAGAAGCUUCCUUCUUGGGGGCAUUGUGGGAUUCUUAGUCCCCUUUUAGCUAAUGUAUGUCUAGAUGAACUGGACCGUUGGAUGGAGGGUAAGAUUAAGGAGUUUUAUCGCCCGUCAAAGAGUGAUGUCAUAUGGAAUAGUCCGGAUGGGGAAGUAGAACAAGGGAAUACAUCUUGGCCAGAAUUUGUCCCUACUAGUGGCCCAGACAAAACCAGAAAAAUGGAUUAUAUAAGAUAUGGGGGUCACAUUUUGAUUGGAGUUCGAGGACCUAGAGCUGAUGCUGCAAUAUUGAGAAAGCAGUUGAUUGAGUUUUGUGAUCAGAAAUAUAUGCUUAAGCUUGACAAUGAGAGCCUUCCUAUUGAACAUAUAACUAAGGGCAUAAUGUUUCUCGAUCAUGUGUUGUGCCGGAGAGUUGUGUAUCCUACUCUUCGGUACACUGCAACUGGUGGGAAGAUCAUUAGUGAGAAGGGUGUGGGCACCCUCUUGUCUGUCACUGCAAGCUUGAAACAAUGCAUUAAGCAAUUUAGGAAGUUGAGCUUUCUUAAAGGGGAUAGGGAUCCAGAUCCACAACCUUGUUUCAGAAUGUUUCAUGCCACUCAGGCUCAUACAAAUGCUCAAAUGAAUAAGCUAUUGUCGACUAUGGUUGAGUGGUAUAGGUAUGCAGAUAACCGGAAGAAAGUUGUGAACUUCUGUUCAUACAUAGUAAGGGGAUCGCUUGCGAAACUUUAUGCUGCAAAAUACAAGCUCCGUUCCCGAGCAAAGGUGUAUAAAAUCGGUGCACGAAAUUUGAGCCGUCCUUUGAAGGAGAAAAAAGGGCAGUCUCCGGAGUACCAUAAUUUGCUGAGGAUGGGUCUUGUGGAGUCAAUUGACGGACUUCAUUAUACCCGGAUGUCUCUUGUACCUGAGACUGAUUACUCCCCUUUCCCAAGUAAUUGGAGGCCUGAUCACGAAAAGGCUUUGCUUGAGUAUAUAAAGCUUGAUGAUUCUAAAACUCUGGAGGAGCAAAGGAGUUGUCUUAGAGAACAUGGUCUUGUUUCACCCCAGGAUUACAUUUCAAUGCUUGUUUGGAACUACAAAAGAAAUGCAAUCAUAGUGGACCAGCUUUCUGUUGGGAAGAGUGGUGUCAGUGAUGCACAAAGAGGGAAAGAAUUGCUGCUGGGAUCUACCCAUGAGAAUUAUGAUCACAGAUCCAGAGGCGAGGAAGACAAGGAAGAAGGAUUUCAUGCAGCUCAAAUUUAAUAAAUACAUUUAUAUUCUGUGCUUGCCAGGCCAAUUUUAUUUUUUGUGCAAGUAGGCAUUUGUACCAGUAAGAGGGGAAGCAAUCCAUGAGAACUAUGAUUGCAAAUUCAAAGAUGAGGAAAACAAGGAAGAAGGAUUUCAUGCUGAGCAAAUUGGGCUUGUCAUAAGAGGUGGUACAAGAAAUCCGGACUGAAACCCUCAUCAGGUUUGGAGAGUUCAUGCCUGGCUAUAGUGAUGGACUAACCCGCCAUUGUGUAGGCUAUUCACCAUUGUACCAAAAAAUUUGACAUGUUUGGAAUUAUUAUUCUCAGUUCUGGGAAUUAUUUUCUUCUUUAACAAGGGUUGUUUGCUACAGACAAUUUGCUCUCCAUCUUAGGAGUGACGUCAAUCAGUAAGCUGAAAUUCACUAUGCAGUGUUCCUUGAAAUGCCAGAAUCCACAUCUCCCAUCCUUGUUGUGCCUGAGGAUGCACAUGGACUCGUUGUACUCUCAAGCUCAUGUUUUGAAAACCCAGAAGCAUCCCCGCCAAGUUGAUAAAAAAAUGGAGGAAGUUCAUCUUAUCAUUGCCACACCAGAGCAUCGGUCCGAAAAUUAGGGCUGCAACUUGGAUGAGUUAUAAAAACUGUAACUUGGAUUGGUAGGAUCCGAAAAUUAGGGCUGUAACUUGGAUGGAUUAUAAAAACUGUAACUUGGAUUGGUAGGAUUAGGUUGGUGGCAAAUUCAAACUCAACCCAACUCAACCCAAUAGAGGUGUUUAUCCAUGUUCAA